rnacentral:rRNA from 1 species
CUCCAUGAAGCUGGAUUCGCUAGUAAUCGCGCAUCAGCCACGGCGCGGUGAAUACGUUCCCGGGCCUUGUACACACCGCCCGUCAAGCCAUGGGAGCCGGGGGUGCCUGAAGUUCGUGACCGCAAGGAGCGACCUAGGGCAAAACUGGUGACUGGGGCUAAGUCGUAACAAGGUAAC